ACAUGCAAGUCGAGCGGUAAGGCCUUUCGGGGUACACGAGCGGCGAACGGGUGAGUAACACGUGGGUGAUCUGCCCUGCACUUCGGGAUAAGCCUGGGAAACUGGGUCUAAUACCGGAUAUGACCUCCUAUCGCAUGGUGAGUGGUGGACAGAUUUAUCGGUGCAGGAUGGGCCCGCGGCCUAUCAGCUUGUUGGUGGGGUAAUGGCCUACCAAGGCGACGACGGGUAGCCGACCUGAGAGGGUGACCGGCCACACUGGGACUGAGACACGGCCCAGACUCCUACGGGAGGCAGCAGUGGGGAAUAUUGCACAAUGGGCGAAAGCCUGAUGCAGCGACGCCGCGUGAGGGACGACGGCCUUCGGGUUGUAAACCUCUUUCAGCAGGGACGAAGCGCAAGUGACGGUACCUGCAGAAGAAGCACCGGCUAACUACGUGCCAGCAGCCRCGGUAAUACGUAGGGUGCAAGCGUUGUCCGGAAUUACUGGGCGUAAAGAGUUCGUAGGCGGUUUGUCACGUCGUUUGUGAAAACUCACAGYUCAACUGUGAGCCUGCAGGCGAUACGGGCAGACUUGAGUACUGCAGGGGAGACUGGAAUUCCUGGUNUAGCGGUGAAAUGCGCAGAUAUCAGGAGGAACACCGGUGGCGAAGGCGGGUCUCUGGCACAGUAACUGACGCUGAGGAACGNUAGCGUGGAUAGCGAACAGGAUUAGAUACCCUGUUAGUCCACGCCGUA
rnacentral:rRNA from 1 species